CCAGUACCGUGAGGGAAAGGCGAAAAGAACCCCGGCGAGGGGAGUGAAAAAGAACCUGAAACCGUGUACGUACAAGCAGUGGGAGCCUCUUUAUGGGGUGACUGCGUACCUUUUGUAUAAUGGGUCAGCGACUUAUAUUCUGUAGCAAGGUUAACCGAAUAGGGGAGCCGAAGGGAAACCGAGUCUUAACUGGGCGUUAAGUUGCAGGGUAUAGACCCGAAACCCGGUGAUCUAGCCAUGGGCAGGUUGAAGGUUGGGUAACACUAACUGGAGGACCGAACCGACUAAUGUUGAAAAAUUAGCGGAUGACUUGUGGCUGGGGGUGAAAGGCCAAUCAAACCGGGAGAUAGCUGGUUCUCCCCGAAAGCUAUUUAGGUAGCGCCUCGUGAAUUCAUCUCCGGGGGUAGAGCACUGUUUCGGCAAGGGGGUCAUCCCGACUUACCAACCCGAUGCAAACUGCGAAUACCGGAGAAUGUUAUCACGGGAGACACACGGCGGGUGCUAACGUCCGUCGUGAAGAGGGAAACAACCCAGACCGCCAGCUAAGGUCCCAAAGUCAUGGUUAAGUGGGAAACGAUGUGGGAAGGCCCAGACAGCCAGGAUGUUGGCUUAGAAGCAGCCAUCAUUUAAAGAAAGCGUAAUAGCUCACUGGUCGAGUCGGCCUGCGCGGAAGAUGUAACGGGGCUAAACCAUGCACCGAAGCUGCGGCAGCGACACUAUGUGUUGUUGGGUA
rnacentral:rRNA from 1 species